rnacentral:rRNA from 1 species
AUUGAACGCUGGCGGCAUGCCUUACACAUGCAAGUCGAACGGCGCCACGGGUGCUUGCACCUGGUGGCGAGUGGCGAACGGGUGAGUAAUAUAUCGGAACGUACCUUAUUGUGGGGGAUAACGCAGCGAAAGCUGUGCUAAUACCGCAUAAUCCCUAAGGGGAAAAGCGGGGGACCGUAAGGCCUCGCGCAAUUAGAGCGGCCGAUACCUGAUUAGCUAGUUGGUGAGGUAAAGGCUCACCAAGGCAACGAUCAGUAGCUGGUCUGAGAGGACGAGCAGCCACACUGGGACUGAGAAACGGCCCAAACUCCUACGGGAGGCAGCAGUGGGGAAUAUUGGACAAUGGGGGCAACCCUGAUCCAGCAAUGCCGCGUGAGUGAAGAAGGCCUUCAGGUUGUAAAGCUCUUUUGUGAGGGAAGAAACAGCAGCUCUAACACAAUUUGCGAAUGACGGUACCUGAAGAAUAAGCACCGGCUAACUACGUGCCAGCAGCCGCAGUAA